rnacentral:rRNA from 1 species
AACUCUGAACCAGCCAUCCCGCGUGUAGGAAGACGGACCUUAUGGGUUGUAAACUACGUUUAUACAGGAAGAAACGUACCCUCGUGAGGGUGCCUGACGGUACUGUAGGAAUAAGCACCGGCUAACUCCGUGCCAGCAGCCGCGGUAAUACGGAGGGUGCGAGCGUUAUCCGGAUUUAUUGGGUUUAAAGGGUCCGUAGGCGGAUUAAUAAGUCAGUGGUGAAAUCCCAUCGCUUAACGAUGGAACUGCCAUUGAUACUGUUAGUCUUGAAUGAGGGUGCAGUGGUUGGAAUGUGUAGUGUAGCGGUGAAAUGCAUAGAUAUUACACAGAACACCGAUUGCGAAGGCAGAUCACUAACCCUAAAUUGACGCUGAGGGACGAAAGCGUGGGGAGCGAACAGGAUUAGAUACCCUGGUAG